rnacentral:rRNA from 1 species
GACGAACGCUGGCGGCGUGCUUAACACAUGCAAGUCGAACGGAAAGGCCCUGCUUGCCGGGUACUCGAGUGGCGAACGGGUGAGUAACACGUGGGUGAUCUGCCCUGCACUUCGGGAUAAGCCUGGGAAACUGGGUCUAAUACCGGAUAGGAGCCAUUUUUAGUGUGAUGGUUGGAAAGUUUUUUCGGUGUAGGAUGAGCUCGCGGCCUAUCAGCUUGUUGGUGGGGUAAUGGCCUACCAAGGCGGCGACGGGUAGCCGGCCUGAGAGGGUGGACGGCCACAUUGGGACUGAGAUACGGCCCAGACUCCUACGGGAGGCAGCAGUGGGGAAGAUUGCACAAUGGGCGCAAGCCUGAUGCAGCGACGCCGCGGGGGGGAUGACGGCCUUCGGGUUGUAAACUCCUUUCGCUAGGGACGAAGCUUUUUGUGACGGUACCUAGAUAAGAAGCACCGGCUAACUACGUG